rnacentral:misc_RNA from 1 species
CCUAGAUAGAUGGAAUGUGAGUGUUCACACAGAUUGUCUGAUGAAGAUUGAGCAGAAAGUAUCAUUAGGCCUGUAGCUCAGCUGGGAGAGCGCCUGCUUUGCACGCAGGAGGUCAGCGGUUCGAUCCCGCUUAGCUCCACCAUAUUGCAAGAUAAAAAUAGAAAAAAAGUUAUUCAGAGCAGGCUGGCAACAGUAUGCUACGAAUAAUAAUGCUCUUUAACAAUCUGGAACAAGCUGAAAAUUGAAACACACAUUAUUGAAAAAAUAGUGUGGGGAACUCUCAAACUCCAAUUUGAAGUGUUAUUCAAAUAGGCAGACGAAUGGCAUGAGCGAGCAGGGUGAAAUUUGCGGCGUAGGUGCGCAGUCAGCGCAGUGUACAUAAGUACGUGAGCAUGACGAGUACCGCACAACAAAAAAUUUCGCACGGCGCAGCCAUGGCGCUUCCGUAUUAUUUGAUAAGAGACACCUUCGGGUUGUGA